AUUGAACGCUGGCGGCAGGCUUAACACAUGCAAGUCGAACGAGUGGCGGACGGGUGAGUAAUGCAUGGGAACCUACCUUAUGGAGGGGGAUAACUACGGGAAACUUUAGCUAUUACCGCGUACCAUAGGAUGAGCCCAAGUGGGAUUAGGUAGUUGGUGGGGUAAAGGCUCACCAAGCCGACGAUGUCUAGCUGGUCUGCGCGGAUGACCAGCCCACAUGGGACCGGGACCAGGCCCCAGAUCCUACGGGGGGCAGGCGUGGGGAAUAUUGGGAAAUGGGGGCAACCUGACGCAGCCAUGCCGCGGGAAUGAAAAAGGCCUUUGGGUGGUAAAAUUCUUUCGGUAGCGAAGAGUUAACUACAGAAGAAGGAACGGCUAAAUCCGGGGCAGCAGCCGCGGUAAUUC
rnacentral:rRNA from 1 species